GGUGUCCCCAAAACCUGUACACUCACUUUAACAGCUGGUAACUCACUGAAGUUUCACUUCAGGUUUAACUGAUGUGAAAGAAUGGGUGCAGCCAGACUGAGCUUUGAACAAAGAAAAUUUAUCCACUAGACUUUUUAUGGGGAUACAUACAAGAUAAAUUUUACAGUACAAAACCGUCAACUCUUGACGAAUUGAAGGCGCACAAAUACCGAAUAAAAUGAUUAUUUUUAAA